rnacentral:rRNA from 1 species
CUGAGACCCCUGUUCCCGUACGAUCACCGAAGUUAAGCAACAUCGAGCCUGGUCAAUACUUAGAUGGGUGACCGCUUGGUAAUACCAGAUUCUGUAA